AUGGGCAGAGCUGGGCACGAGUGCCUCGGUGGCACACGGUUCCCAGGAGGGCCCCCCAGGUGCUGGGGCGAGGGGCGCAGUGGGGUCCUGGUGUCCCGGGACCCUGCAGCCCCUCUGGCUCGGCAUCUGGAGCAGCGGUGGAGAAAGCCGGCCGCAUCCUGCCGCAGGAAACGGCCACCAGUGUCAUCUCCAUCUGCUUCCUGCCUGCUCCUUGAGCGCGGGGCCGUGCCCGGGCAGCUGCUCCCGGCCUCGUCACGGAGGGGACCCGCUGCAAGGUGCCGGCAUUGUUCCCUCGGCCGCUGCAUUCCUGCCACUGCCGGCGGAAAUGCCGGAGAGGGCGCGAAGCCCCGCGGCUCCCGCGGGACGGGCUGGGCCCGUGCAUCCUCGAGGAGUGCAUCCUCACGGCCCUCCUUGGAGGGCCUCGGAGCUCUGAGCAGCGCGUGGGGAUGGGGGCUUGAGCGUGCCCGGCAGGCACCCUGGUGCUGGAAGCGUCUGCGUGGUGGGGCUGGUGGCACCCAGCGGUGUGUGAGUGGCGUGGCUCAACCUGUGUUUUUGGCACAGCCACCAUCCCCUGCAUGUCCUGAGCCCCGGCCAUCCAUCCCCUGGGAUGCAGCCAGAGGUCCCCAAGAAACGGAGGCCCCCAGCGGUGUCUCAGCCCUCUCCCGGCGCACACCCAGCACCGUUUGCUUCCCAACUGGGCCAGCUUGGACCCAGCAAAGCUCCCCGUCUUGGCUACACCAGGCCAGGCACCCGCACUCGUGCCCGGCAGCCAGGCACUGGGGAGGAGGCUGUGCACCCUCUGCGCCUCUGCCCCCAGCUGCCGAGACCUCACGGCCCCUCCGGCUUCGGCGCUUGCCGGCGGCGUGCAAGGGAGCCGGCACGGUGCGUGGCACGAGGCACACAGGGACGGUGGAGGAGCCCGGCAGCCCCCACCUGCCCGCAGGCAGCAGGCCAAGCCAGGAAAAGCCAGAGAUUCCUUCGCUCUCCCGGCCCAGGAGCCUUUUCCUCCGGCACCGGCUGGCCACAGCCCAACCGGGGGGACCUCCCCGGCCUCCCCCUUCCAGGGCAGAGAUGGGGCCAGCGGGGUUGGGGCGGUUGGGCUGCGGCCAGGGCAGGGCAUCCUGCCGCUCCCCUCAUCACGGCACCCGCUGGCCUGGCAGCCCCCGGCCCCCACGGGAGGGGAAAAACCCAGCGGGGCCCAGACGGGAGGCACCCGGGGCGGGCGCAGGCGUGCGGCGUGGCGGGAGCGCGCUGGCGCGUGGCCGGGGAGCGCAUCCCUCCCGCUCCCCGAGGAUGAGCUCAUGGAGGCCAGCUGGGCCCAGCCCC
rnacentral:lncRNA from 1 species